GACGAACGCUGGCGGCGUGCUUAACACAUGCAAGUCGAACGGAAAGGCCCUGCUUUUGUGGGGUGCUCGAGUGGCGAACGGGUGAGUAACACGUGAGUAACCUGCCCUUGACUUUGGGAUAACUUCAGGGAACUGGGGCUAAUACCGGAUAGGAGCUCCUGCUGCAUGGUGGGGGUUGGAAAGUUUCGGCGGUUGGGGAUGGACUCGCGGCUUAUCAGCUUGUUGGUGGGGUAGUGGCUUACCAAGGCUUUGACGGGUAGCCGGCCUGAGAGGGUGACCGGCCACAGUGGGACUGGGAUGCGGCCCAGACUCCUACGGGAGGCAGCAGUGGGGAAUAUUGCACGAUGGGCGGAAGCCUGAUGCAGCAACGCCGCGUGCGGGAUGACGGCCUUCGGGUUGUAAACCGCUUUCGCCUGUGACGAAGCGUGAGUGACGGUAAUGGGUAAAGAAGCACCGGCUAACUACG
rnacentral:rRNA from 1 species